rnacentral:rRNA from 1 species
UACAGAGGUCUCAAGCGUUGUUCGGAUUCAUUGGGCGUAAAGGGUGCGUAGGUGGCGCGGUAAGUCGGGGUGUGAAAUUUCGGAGCUUAACUCCGAAACUGCAUUCGAUACUGCCGUGCUUUGAGGACUGGAGAGGAGACUGGAAUUUACGGUGUAGCAGUGAAAUGCGUAGAGAUCGUAAGGAAGACCAGUGGCGAAGGCGGGUCUCUGGACAGUUCCUGACGUGAGGCACGAAGGUCAGGGGGAGCAAAACGGGG